GAUGAAGAACGUAGCGAAAUGCGAUAAGUAAUGUGAAUUGCAGAAUUCAGUGAAUCAUCGAAUCUUUGAACGCACAUUGCGCCCGCCAGUAUUCUGGCGGGCAUGCCUGUUCGAGCGUCAUUUCAACCAUCAAGCCCCGGGCUUGUGUUGGGGACCUGCGGCUGCCGCAGGCCCUGAAAUGCAGUGGCGGGCUCACUGUCACUCCGAGCGUAGUAGUUACAUCUCGCUCUGGGCGUGCUGCGGGUUCCGGCCGUUAAAAGCCUUAUUUACCCAAGGUUGACCUCGGAUCAGGUAGGAAGACCCGCUGAACUUAAGCAUAUCAAUAAGCGGAGGA
rnacentral:misc_RNA from 1 species